AAACGUUUCUUGAACACAAUCUAAUCUGAAUCUCCCCUCUUUUAGUUUAAAACAGUUCUCCCUUGUCCUAUCACUAACUUCCCACAUAAAAAAAGCUGAUCAUUCAUCUUGCUUAUAAGCUCCUUCUAAGUAUUGGAAGGCCACAAUGAGGUCUCCCCAGAACCUUCUCCAGGCUGAACAAGCCCAGCUUCCUCAGUCUGUCUUCAUAGGAGACACACUCCAGCCCUCUUACCAUGUUCAUGGCCCUCCUUUCAACUUGUUUGAACAUCUUCACAUAUUUUUUGUGCCGGAGGCCUUAGGCCUGGACACAGUGCUGCAGAUGGGGGCUUCACAAUGGCAAAGUAGAGCCAUUGUAGUGACCACUUGGUAAUGGCAACUGUUUUUAUAUGUGAAUAACAAGAAUACAAAGUUCUGAUAGCAUCCAGAGAGCCUUGCACUGCAAAAGAAACUGUAUGGAGGAUGUAUGGAGAAGACAGCAAGAUGAUUUUGCUACUUUCUUAUUGCUUCUCUUAGCAAUCUCCAGCAGACAAAAUUGCUAAGUAUUACUGGAUAUUAAGGAGAAACUAUUAAAUGAAUGGAGUCAUAGCAUGACGGCCUUCUGUCUUGGGAAGUGGUAUUUGUACUGUUACAGCUCUCUUAGAUUAUUACUGUGUGGGUGAGAGUCAGGUUAAUUAGUUAUGUUACCUGUAAUAACAAGAAGUAAUACAGCAUAUAGCAAUGACAAUUUUUUUUUUCUCCAGUUUUGAUUUAGAAAUGGGAAUAUUUUGACUUGCGACAAAUGAGAAGAGUAACAAAUUCACUGAAAAUGAUGACUCUCCUACCCUUCAAUCCUAGCUUCAGACUCCUGCAUGCCUUUGUAACUGAUGUGACGUGACCAGUGUAAUGCAUGCUGAGUUGUCUUACAAAUUAGUCGUUGAACAGCCUGGCUAUUGGAAGCGUGCAGCAUUAGCUUUAACCUAAUUUUUAUGUGCUGAAAGACUCUCUUCCCCUUGAUCUAAGGUGAAUUCAGUGUAUCACUUUAGAACGUGUGCAUUUUCAAAGGUUGAUGCAGAUCUCUUUCAAUAAGCUGAUAAUAAGAAGAACUGAAAAUGAAAAAAAAGAGAGAAAAAUGGAAUGGAAUUCAGCUGCAGAAAAUCUCCCUUAAAUCUGUGGGUAUGUAGUAAAGAUGGCAGCUAUGAGGAAAUGUUCCUGUGCCACUGAUGGGACUGUGAAGCUGGUAUUUAUAGUAGCUCACAGCUGAGAAGGCCAAACGGAACAAAUACUGUUGGGCUGGUAAAAAUCUUAUUCUUCAUCAUUUGUAAGACAACCAGUAGAUAAUUGUUCGCAACCUGUUUCCUCCACAUCCCGAGAACCACUGCUGGUUUUUGAGACUGCUUCUGUUCUGCAGUCCUGACAAGUGCUAUUUGAAGUAAGCAGUGCUUGCCAGUACUGCAGUCCUUGAGUGGAAAGAAGAGGCUUGUAUGCAGAGUUCUUAUAAUUGAUAUAGUGGGGUAUGGUCAGUACUGAUGAAAAUGUUGAUGGUGUUUUAUAUGUGCUUAGACCAAACUUGCUUCCUUAGCUAGCACUGAGACUAGAUAUAUUUUGCAAUAGAAGCUUCCUAACAUGAAUUUAAUAGCAUGUUAAGGCAGCGGAGCUUCAAUUUAUCUAUAUAUAUGUGUGUAAGAUGGAAGUCACACCUAUGGACAGCUCCAGAUGUGGUCCUUAAAUGUUCACUUAAAUCAUUUCAAUUCAUUAAUUUGUUCUUAACUUUCCCUGGAUUACAUUCACUGCUUUCAGCACAUUGCUUUCUUUUUGCUCGCCAUUUUAAAACUGAAAUAAUACAUGGGAUGUUACUGCACACAAACGGCAUGGACACAUGUAACAGGGCAACAAUAUGAUAUGUUUUUUCAGAACUGAGCUGGCAGUGCUGGCAAUACUCCUUCUCACAUGGUUAAGGUCAAACCAAAUGUAGAUGCUUUGCUCUGCUUAAAAGCCAAAACACUCAACAUAGGCAAUCAGAAUUUUUGCAUUUUUUGAGCAGCUUACAAGAAGGCUUCCUUAAUCUUAAGGCAUACUAGUCCACAAAGUAAUAGGUAAAGCAAGGCAGACAAUUGUGCAUGAUUUUAAAAUGGUAAUUCAAAACAUUCUAUCACAAAAUGCAUUAUUCCAUCAAAAUUUUCCCCAAGUUUGUGGACAUUUAAUUUCAUGGUUUCAUUUCUUUUCAUCAUAGUGCUGGAUCAAAGGUAGAAGAUUAAAAUCCAAAUGGACUUUAAAUUCACAGUGUACUGUAUAAGAAUGAGGCUGUGCCAUUUGAAAUUGGUAUGAGUUUACAUCAGAGCACAGUUUCUCUGUAUGGAAACUGUGCUCUGAUGUAAAAAUCGGAGAGGUGACAGCAGCGUCUUAUAACCAGGCUUCAUGCACAUUUGGAAAAUGAGGUCAGUGUGUGAAAUAUAAUAUUAAAAUAUUUUAGCAUAUUUGCAAACCUAAAUGUUACUGCAGUAAUAUAGUAAGGAUUAAUUUGUUUUAAAAAUGCCAGAGAACACAGGAAUCUUUAGUCACUAUUUCUAUAUGUAAUGCCUAAUUUUGAGGGUAUUCUUAGUAUGUAAUUUACUAGAAAGCAUUUAGUUUACUCAGACAACUCUAAUAAAUGUUUUACCAUGGAACUAUGACUGCCUUUUGUUUUUCUUUCUCACAGUAAGCUCCAAGAGCAGUUUCUUCCUAAUGAAGGUAUUGGCUUUUAUAAGAACAAGGUUGGAUUCUGCAGAGGCGAGCUGAACAUGCUACGGCUGACUUGGAUCAGUUGUUUACUAGUCUUGAUUACUGAUCAUUUUCAUCUCUUAUAAAUAUAAGGGAUCUUUCUCACUAUGAAUUCAGUGAUCACCUUAAACUCGGAAGCCUUUAAAUAUCAUAUAAUGCCUGCUAGAGGCAGGGAAAUGAUAAAAUUAGCAGAGGAGAGAGGCACGUCUCUCAUGGAUUCGGCAGGCAGCUGGCAGCCAGCCACUGGGUAAAAUCUGCACGGCCUCACCAGCCCUGGAAUCUGCUGCUUUCAGUGACAGAUUUGGAACUGCCUCGUGAUGGAUUUUAAAUACUCUGCUUUGCUUGAUUGUUUAUCUAUUGGCAUGUUGUGUAUCUUUGGUACUGUUUGUAUGUUGCAUAGUAGCACGUGUCUAACUUGUAAAAAAAAUCUGUCCGGGAUAAAAGAAGAAAAAGUAUGCAUCAAGCAUGCAUCAAGCUAGGUAACUCAUGUAGCGAACUGUUAUUAGUAGGGAAUGCCAAAACUAUUUGCUUGUACAAUUCUGGCUCCAGCAAUCUGCAAGGACAGGAAAUGUACAUGUAGAGUGACCGAAAUUACUAGCAGGGGUAAGGGAAACCUGAGAAAGAGGAACAGAAAAGAAGAUGCUUUCAUGGUCCAUAGCACCAGCCUUCACUUCUGGCAGCUGAAGAAAUUAGCUCUGCUUGAAUUGCAGUUGAAGUUAAAAGUCAGAAAUAUAUGUAGACAGUUUGCCAAAUAUGUGUGCAUGAGUUUCUCUAAAACAGUUUUUUUUUUUUUUUUUUUUUCCCAGCUGCAAUACAUUUAGGAAAGCAGUUUGUUCCUUAGAUGUCCCACAAGUCAUGGGCAGCCCUGAAAGAAAGAAUGUCAAGCUUCUGAAUUCAGCCAGAGCUGGAUUUACUGGAAAAUUAAGUCCCACUAGAGGUGGAAUUUGUCUCGACUAAUUUUAACAUUUAUAAACUUUCAUCUAGCCUCAACUGUCAUCUGGGCUCUUGCUGUGUGAAAAGAGCAACAUCUAACAAGGAACUUAGGCAGGAGCGAUAGUACUGGACUGGAGAUACACCAUUUACUUUUCCCUACCAAUUAUAGAAGGUCACAAGUCAGUUUAGUUUAGAUAAAUAGCUUCCAUAUUACUGAAAUCAGAUGAUUUAAAUCCUACCUUCAUAGCAAGAGGACUGUGAAUUUCUCUUCCCAGCCAGGUGAAACUUGAGGCCUACCACCCCAGGGGACAAAUUCAGGAAAAACAGAAUGUGCAGAGCAACAGCAGUAAGCCUGUAACUCUAACACCUCCAGCAUCCAUAAUACACAGCAUUAUCAUCCCCCAGGAGCAGGCACAGGGGCUGCCUGUUUUAUCCAGCCACAAAAGAAUGAGAGGCUUUCCUGGGAUAUCUCAGAAAUCUCAAGUGUGCUUUUGGUGGAGGGAUAAUUGUCCAUUGUGAAAAUGCUAAAUAAUAGUGAAUUGGCUGCUAAAGGUUUUGAUCCUUUUCAUGGCAGCCUAUAUAAUUGUCAGGGAACACCUAAGGCAAAGCAUGGAUAUUUGCAAUUGAAGUGUGUGUGCCUUCCUAGGUGAUACUCUUUUGUAUGACUAAGAAAUUUGCAGAAUUUAAAGACAUGUAUUUAUUGUUCUGUUCCUAAAGAUGUGUGCUAGGGAAGUAAACUGGCUCUUGCUGUGUUAAAAUAAUUUCCCACACUGAAUGUCAAAUAAACUGAUGUGUAACCAAUAGUU